CCAAUAGAAUUAUAAAUAUUUCUGUUUGACAGGCUAUUCAAACGCUGAUCUCAAAGGGUGCUAGAUCUGGUUCCAAUCCUGUUCUUUCAACCUGCCUCUGCAUUUUCUUCCCAAACGUGAUUUUAAAUAUAGCAAAAAGAGUUCAAAGAAGAAGUAAAGCACUUCAAAAGUAUGCUUGAACAACAAGCUAUUCAAAUGGCAGAACAAAGAAGACAUUUUGAGGAACAACAAGCUAGUCAAAUGGCAGCACAAAGAGCACAUUAUGACAAUAUGAUGAUGCAAAUGGUGAGUUGUAUCACCUUGCAAUCAGCCCAAUCUAGUAGUGAUCACUAAGCAACUUGCAAGCUAAUGAGCAACGUCACAUGCUCCAUUCCUGAGUUUACUUGUGUUUCAUCUGCAAAGGUGGCUUUGCUGUUAAUUUGGGUUGCUGAUAUAAGGAAACAUGUGAAGAAUUUAGAAUUUGGGAAGGGACACGUAUAUAAAGCUGUGCAUGUAACCGAUUUUUAGGAU